UACGUAGGGUGCGAGCGUUAAUCGGAAUUACUGGGCGUAAAGCGUGCGCAGGCGGUUCGUUAAGACAGGUGUGAAAUCCCCGGGCUUAACCUGGGAACUGCAUUUGUGACUGCAUCGCUGGAGUGCGGCAGAGGGGGAUGGAAUUCCGCGUGUAGCAGUGAAAUGCGUAGAUAUGCGGAGGAACACCGAUGGCGAAGGCAAUCCCCUGGGCCUGCACUGACGCUCAUGCACGAAAGCGUGGGGAGCAAACAGG
rnacentral:rRNA from 1 species